rnacentral:lncRNA from 1 species
GAUUUAGGAUUUGCUUAGGAUUUGAUUUAGGAUUAGGAUUUGAUUAAGAUUUGAUUUAGGAUUUAGGAUUUGAUUUAAGAUUGGUUAGGAUUUGAUUUAGGAUUUAGAGUUUGGUUAGGAUUUGAUUUAGGAUUAGGGUUUGAUUUAGGAUUUAGAUUUUGGUUAGGAUUUGGUUAGGAUUUGGUUUAGGAUUUAGAAUUUGAUUUAAGAUUUAAGAUUUGAUUAGAUUUAUUUUAGGAUUUGAUUUAGGAUUUAGAAUUUGGAUUAAGGUUUAAUAUUUGGUUAGGAUUUGAUUUAAGAUUUAUGAUUUGAUUAAGGUUUGAUUUAGGAUUGAUUAGGAUUUGAUUUAGAGUUUAGGAUUUUAUUAAGAUUUAUUUAGGAUUUAAGAUUUAAUUAAUUUUUGGCCUAAAGUUUAAAUGAAGUCCAAUAGGAUUUUAAUUAGGAUUAAAUUAAGAUUGAAUUGAAAUGUAUAUGAGAUAUAUUUGUCGUCAUUAUAAUAUUUCUUUAAUAUUUC